rnacentral:rRNA from 1 species
UGACCUAAACCCUCACCAGAGUAACAAUUGGAGGGCAAGUCUGGUGCCAGCAGCCGCGGUAAUUCCAGCUCCAAUAGCGUAUAUUAAACUUGUUGCAGUUAAAAAGCUCGUAGUUGAAUUUUUGCGUGGUGUUAAUAUUGACUGAUGUCGAGAUUGCACUUCGCUUUUGGGAUUUUUCCCUUUUUACUUUGAGAAAAUUAGAGUGUUUCAAGCAGACUUUUGUCUUGAAUACUUCAGCAUGGAAUAAUAGAGUAGGACUUUGGUUCUAUUUUGUUGGUUUGUGAACCUUAGUAAUGGUUAAUAGGAACGGUUGGGGGCAUUCGUAUUUAACUGUCAGAGGUGAAAUUCUUAGAUUUGUUAAAGACGAACUACUGCGAAAGCAUUUGCCAAGGACGUUUCCAUUAAUCAAGAACGAAAGUUAGGGGAUCGAAGACGAUCAGAUACCGUCGUAGUCCUAACCAUAAACUAA